CCGCCCAUCUCUGCCGCCGGCGGCUUUGCCUUCCGCUCCCGGUCGCCAUCCCUCUCCUGGCGCGUCUCUCGGGUUCCGUCCACCUCUUCGUCUUCCCGGUCCGCCCAGCUUUUCUUCGUCAUCCAAAUCGCCAUCUUGUUUUUAUCCGGAUCGCCCAGCUCGUCUUCCGUGUCGACUUCGUCCCCUUCCCAGCGCAGCUGCUAGCCAAGCAUGGCUUCGUGCUGAGCACCUCCACUAAAACAGAAAAAAAGCUGUGUUGGGCUUGAUUUUAGUUCCAUUUUGCGCCAUAGCAACCGUCUCCAGUUUCGAAGAUGAUAUACGAUAGCAGUGGAGGCUAUGUUGGGACGUCGAAGUUUCCAUGUUUCUGCGGCGAGUCGGCUGACUUAUGGCGUUCUGGGACUGACGAGAAUCCUGGUAGACUGUUCGUGAAAUGCGGAAUGGAUAAGAGAUGCAAGUACUGGGAAUGGGAAGACGAGAUCUGUGCCAGGUUGCCCGGCAAAGUAAAGCAGCCAGGUCGAGUUGGGGCAUCAGGACGCAUCCGCGCUGCUGGCAUCGAGGAAGAAACUGCGACAAGCCAACAGAUCAGGGCGGAUAUGACUGUGAUUCGUUACUCUUUGCUGGCCAUUGCUCUGGCGUCUGUGUGGAUAGCUAGCCGGGUGUGAUGUUUCUAUUCAUCUGUAGCCAUCUAGCAGUUUUUAGGUCAUCCUAGUUGCAUGCUCUAUUUGUCUGGGAAACAUGUCCAUCUUUGGAAACUACUGGGAAGUACCGGCGCGGCGGCACGCGGCGCCCGUGAUGUUUA